rnacentral:rRNA from 1 species
UAAGACAGAGGCCACGAGCGUUAGGCGGAAUCACUGGGCUUAAAGCGUGUGUAGGCGGAUUCGUAAGUGUCUUGUGAAAUCCCACGGCUCAACCGUGGAACUGCUGGGCAUACUGCGAGUCUUGAGCCGGCCAGGGGUCACCGGAACAAGCGGUGGAGCGGUGAAAUGCGUAGAUAUCGCUUGGAACGCCGACGGUGAAAACAGGUGACUGGGGCCGCGCUGACGCUGAGACACGAAAGCCAGGGGAGCGAACGGGAUUAGAUACCCCGGUAGUCCUGGCCCUAAACGAUGUCCACCAGGUCGUGGGAGCUCUGACGCUCUCGCGGCCGGAGCAAAAGUGUUAAGUGGACCGCCUGGGAAGUACGGUCGCAAGGCUA